rnacentral:rRNA from 1 species
ACGAACGCUGGCGGCGUGCCUAAUACAUGCAAGUCGAACGCUUCUUUCCUCCCGAGUGCUUGCACUCAAUUGGAAAGAGGAGUGGCGGACGGGUGAGUAACACGCGGGUAACCUACCCAUCAGAGGGGGAUAACACUUGGAAACAGGUGCUAAUACCGCAUAACAGUUUAUGCCGCAUGGCAUAAGAGUGAAAGGCGCUUUCGGGUGUCGUUGAUGGAUGGACCCGCGGUGCAUUAGCUAGUUGGUGAGGUAACGGCUCACCAAGGCCACGAUGCAUAGCCGACCUGAGAGGGUGAUCGGCCACACUGGGACUGAGACACGGCCCAGACUCCUACGGGAGGCAGCAGUAGGGAAUCUUCGGCAAUGGACGAAAGUCUGACCGAGCAACGCCGCGUGAGUGAAGAAGGUUUUCGGAUCGUAAAACUCUGUUGUUAGAGAAGAACAAGGACGUUAGUAACUGAACGUCCCCUGACGGUAUCUAACCAGAAAGCCACGGCUAACUACGUG